rnacentral:rRNA from 1 species
UGCAAGUCGAACGGUGAACACGGAGCUUGCUCUGUGGGAUCAGUGGCGAACGGGUGAGUAACACGUGAGCAACCUGCCCCUGACUCUGGGAUAAGCGCUGGAAACGGCGUCUAAUACUGGAUAUGUGACGUGAUCGCAUGGUCUGCGUCUGGAAAGAAUUUCGGUUGGGGAUGGGCUCGCGGCCUAUCAGCUUGUUGGUGAGGUAAUGGCUCACCAAGGCGUCGACGGGUAGCCGGCCUGAGAGGGUGACCGGCCACACUGGGACUGAGACACGGCCCAGACUCCUACGGGAGGCAGCAGUGGGGAAUAUUGCACAAUGGGCGCAAGCCUGAUGCAGCAACGCCGCGUGAGGGAUGACGGCCUUCGGGUUGUAAACCUCUUUUAGCAGGGAAGAAGCGAAAGUGACGGUACCUGCAGAAAAAGCGCCGGCUAACUACGUGCCAGCAGCCGCGGUAAUACGUAGGGCGCAAGCGUUAUCCGGAAUUAUUGGGCGUAAAGAGCUCGUAGGCGGUUUGUCGCGUCUGCUGUGAAAUCCGGAGGCUCAACCUCCGGCCUGCAGUGGGUACGGGCAGACUAGAGUGCGGUAGGGGAGAUUGGAAUUCCUGGUGUAGCGGUGGAAUGCGCAGAUAUCAGGAGGAACACCGAUGGCGAAGGCAGAUCUCUGGGCCGUAACUGACGCUGAGGAGCGAAAGGGUGGGGAGCAAACAGGCUUAGAUACCCUGGUAGUCCACCCCGUAAACGUUGGGAACUAGUUGUGGGGGUCCAUUCCACGGAUUCCGUGACGCAGCUAACGCAUUAAGUUCCCCGCCUGGGGAGUACGGCCGCAAGGCUAAAACUCAAAGGAAUUGACGGGGACCCGCACAAGCGGCGG